rfam:Schistosoma curassoni strain Dakar, Senegal genome assembly, scaffold: SCTD_scaffold0007510
AUCCAGCUGACGAGUCACAAAUAGGAUGAAACGUGCGUCCUGAAU